GUGGCUGUAUCUUAAUGUAGAUUGCGAACAAAGGACAUGUUAGAACUGCCAAGUACCACAGUCAACCUCUCAAAUGCUAUCAGCUUUGCCUGCAUCAGACAUCAGUGAAGAGAGUAAAACACGUGAAUAAAAGCAAAAGGUCUGUAAUAUGCAGGGCUUUAUUAGGCAGUUCUGAGCGAACUCCAAACAAAAUGUGCGAAAAGAUGAGGCAUCCCAGAAAGACACCUCUAAUCAAGUCCGUGUGCCUUAGUGAAGCUCUACAUCACAAAGGAAACAGAAAACAGAGUCCAGAUUGGGAAAGGUGUUCGUCUUCCGCCAGUACAACAUUCUUACUCCCUACAAAUUUACUGAAUCUAUAAAGACCUGAAGUUAAGCUCCUCCCAAGGCUAGAUUCAAUCUUUCCCACCAGCCCUUGAAACUGUGGAGCAACACCAACCUCCUGGCCCUUGUACCUGCUCUCCCGGCUGUCUAGAAUGCUAUUUCCUUGGAUCCUCACAAGGCUUCAUUUCUCUCUGUUCUGGACUUAGAUGUUGUCUACCUAAACUAUUUAGGUAGCACCUCCACUGAAACAGCAUCACCCCACCAGCUCCCUACCCUGCUUUACUUUCUUCAUAGAACGUAUCCAUCCCUGCAUAACAGUCGACUCUAUAUUUAUUUACUUUCCCUGUCUUCCCACAAGAUCUGAGUGUCUGGAGGACAGGAAAUUCUUUUUGUUGUUGUUUGUGACUAUAUCUCAAGUGCCCAGAAGAGCACACAAUAAAUAUAUGCCAAUGGAAUGGCUUUCAGUGGCUCAACCCAGGAUCAUCAAGGCUAUUCUACCUGUGCUCCCACGCAAGGAAGGUGGAGUAAGAUGUGGGCACAGUCAUGAUAGGAAAUCAUCUGGUAAUGUUAUCCAACACCUGCAAAGAGUUUAUUUAUUUUUUUAUUCAGUUUACCCGCUUUCAGAAACUUACACCAGAGCAAUAAUCAAAACAUUCAGGUGAAGAUUUCAAUAUAAAGAUACUUAUUAAAGUAUUAUUUGUGACUAUGACAAAUGGAAAUGACUGGAUAAAUAGCAAUACUCCUAAUAUAGAAUGGCUACCACUUUUUCAGAAGUUAUUAAGUGUUGGGUAAAAGGCUAAGUUUUUAAAAUACUCCACAAACUAGUUGUAUCCAAUUUACAGAUGAGGGCACUGAGGUAACUUGUCCAAGGCAUCAUUUGAUGAGUUUUAUGAAGCAUGGGGCCUCAAGUUCUUGCUGCCUGGACUGAGCUAAGAAAUAAUAAAUUGGAUCUGACUUACAAAACAA